GAUUUAGUGUUAUCUCAGUAUUCAAGUUCCUUUUAUUUUAUGCAGCUUCCAGAUGGCCUGACUGCCUUUACUACCCUGCAGUGUGUGACCUUUGUCAUCUCCGGAUUUAUCCACAUGUGACCUUGCACAGGGAUGCCAUGGCAUCGCAACACCGUCACACGGAGCACUGAAGGCGCAGGGGAGGAUGUCUGCUACCCCAGUGAGAAACAUCAUCCAGAAUGACAGCAUAACCCAGAGGCUGAUUGGACAAACGAGUCAGAGUGUAUUACACACAGCAAAUGGAACGCGAUUACAGCAAAGAAAAAAAGGAAGCGUACAGGAUCUGUGUCCACUACUGUCACUGGCUAGUGUAAGUGGGGUCAGGAGAUCGGGGUCAACCGAGAAGAGGUCAAAGGUCGUGGAGCAGUGGGUCUUGUUAAAAUACCUUUUAGCCUCCUUCAGGGAUAUUAUGUAAUGGCUCUGGGAAUAGGUUAGGUUGCAGGUUGACUGUUUUGUGGUGGAGACUGGAUGAUAUAUGUGUUCUGCUUUAUGCCAGAUGUAUAUUCAUUACCCUUUUUAAAAAAUCAGGAUGCAAAGGAAGUGCUGGGAGGUCAAGAGGGGUGACGUGCAAGAGGUCACACAUAUGCGUUUAUUUGCAGUAUCUUUGUUUUGGAGGAUGCAUCUUCCAGGAAACGAUCAUCUUAUAUAACACCUCAGAAGGUUCUCAGCUCGUGUACUAAGAUGAAGGGGUUUUUCCUUUGUGUUGCUAAUUAAA